AAAAUUACACAAAAUGAAAAGUCACUAUAUUAUGCCAGUUUUUUGGAAGUCUUAGUUUGAGAUGUGUGUAUUUCCUUGGAAAUUGAUGACUUGAAAAAAAUUGCCAAUUCACUGACAGUGCUUUGCAAUGAAAAACAGAAGCAAGAAAAGCAAAGCACAGCAGAAAAGAAGAAAGGUGUGGUUCCUGGAGGAGGAUUAAAAGCCACCAUGAAAGAUGAUCCGGCAGAUUAUGGUGGUUAUGAUGGAGGAUAUGUACAAGAUUAUGAAGACUUCAUGUGACAUUUUAUCUUUCUUGGUGUCAUCUUUAUGUUGCCCACAAUCCCUUGAACAUGUAGCACAACUUCCUUUCCUUUCAGUUCUGCCAAAUGCUGCAAUCAGAAGUGCAGUAUCUUUUGUGCUGGUUAUUUAAUCCCUUGACACUUAGGUGCUAAUGUGCAAAUGAGGGAACUUGGAUCUUGCUGCCAAGGGGUUAAAACUGGGAACCUAAGUUGCUACUAAAUCAUAGUUCAAAACCUAAUAAUGUUGUCAUUGUAGUUAUCUGAUUUCAUAGUAGCAGUCACUAAAUUGGAAACAAAAGGUUGCAACAUGACAAAAAAAAAUUGUGUAGUAUUUACCAGCACCAUUCAGUAAUACAGCCUUAACCAUACCUCCUUGAACUACUUCAUAACUUGUCAAGAAAAGCAGUUUGCAGGAAGGUCAUGUGGUGUGCACCUAGUAUUAAAGUUGCUUUGUCUUAAAACUGAACAUGAGGAUAUUAAAAAUACAUUGUGAAGAAAACUUCUUAUCUCAGAGUGAAGAUACUGUGGCUGAAAAGCACUAGUUUGAUAUAAAAUUAAAAUGACCAAAACCCUCCAACUUUGAAGCUAAAGAAGGUAAACCUUUCCAUUAUUGCAUUACAUUUUGUGGAAUCUCUUGAGUGCAAAGACUGUCUAGUUAUUUAUCAGGCUAUUUCUACUGAUGAAGUGCUUCAGGUAGGGGAGGGAAACUAAUUUUUAUCUGCCUGAUGUAAGUGAUGAGAAAUAAAUCUUUGUUCUCUUAGGCUGCAAUGGAACAACUUUACCAGGGUUUUGGCAUUUCCUUUCCUUUAUAAAACAUGCUCAGCAAACUGCACCAGUUAACUACAGUUUGGU